CAGUCGCCGCGGGAAUACGAAGGGGGCUAGCGUUGCCCGGAAUCACUGGGCGUAAAGGGUGCGUAGGCGGGUCUUUAAGUCAGGGGUGAAAUCCUGGAGCUCAACUCCAGAACUGCCUUUGAUACUGAAGAUCUUGAGUUCGGGAGAGGUGAGUGGAACUGCGAGUGUAGAGGUGAAAUUCGUAGAUAUUCGCAAGAACACCAGUGGCGAAGGCGGCUCACUGGCCCGAUACUGACGCUGAGGCACGAAAGCGUGGGGAGCAAACAGGAUUAGAUACCCCAGUAGUCCCUGUCUCUUAUAC
rnacentral:rRNA from 1 species